GCACCUAACCCAUGCUUUGCACAACCUCUUUUUUCGCUUUAUUUCAGCACCCAACACCAUGCUGGGACCACCACGCUGCAUCUUGGGGGCUGGCAACUCUGCAGCUCUCCCACCUCCUGCUCCCUCUUGGGUUGCCUUGAAACCCUGCUGAGUUUUGUCUGGGUUUUAGCAAACACCCUCUUGCCUGGCUUUAGUUUCUUUUCCACCUUCCCAUUUUUAACUCCUUUGAAACUGGGCUUACACUCCCCAUGAAUUUGGCAUGUGCGUGAAAAGAAAGUGUGAGUUUGGCAGCUCCGCAGGGGUGGAUGCAGAAGACCUUCCCAAUGGGAAGCUGAGUUGGAGGAGGAUCUGGGUGCCUCUUCCCUGCUGAGACAGGCAGGAGCUGGAGGACACCACGGUCACAGAAGGAGAGUGACAUGGUGGGGACACUUCUGGACCAGCCUCGGCCUUGUCAGCAGGUUCUUGUGGAGGGCAUUCAGCUAUCAGUCAUGGUUUCCAUCAGGCGACUCCAAUUAAAGCUUUAGCCAACGCUGUACAGGAUUAUACGUGUUCAUUCAUGUCAUAGCCAGGAAGCCAAACCAAACCACGAGGAAGGCGAAACACAAGGCAGAUGGGCAUCUUGGUUGCCUCGGGGCAUCUCACCACCAGCCUAGCCCCACUCUGCCUGACCAGGGACGGGACAUUGCACUGAGAUGGAGAAGUCCCACCACGACACCGCUUCACAUGUCCACUGUGAGGCUCUUGAUGAAAUAAAAAUGGGACAUAGAGCUGUUGUCUUCCCUUACCUAGCUCUUCUACAGGAAAUCAUGCACAUAACAGAGAGCCACGUCCUUCCCUAACAGCACGACGAGGCACUGAUUUAUUCUGCAGAGAAAGCUGGUGGAGGUGUGACCCGGAGCUGAGGCUGCCAUUUGUGAGUUCGUUCCCAUCUGAUGGCUACUGAUCGACCAUGCAGAGGGUAACGGCCCCAGCAGGAAUGCCACGACUUAAGUUGCAUUGAAAUUCAAGAGGGUUUCAAGUAUUUAGUUGGAAAUUGUACUCAUGAAGCCCCCGAAUUUAGUUUUGGCCAAACAUGGCAUCAGUUCAAAUAUGGGAAAAGAACAUAGCAGUCAGGGUCUCUGCCAAAGCCUUUUUUUUUUCCUGCUCAGAUAUUUCCCAUCUCGUUCAGACCUUGGUUGCAUUCCCCACCCUUCCACCUCCCCGCUCAGCAGCAUGCCUCGGAGACGGGCACAGCUACAAGAGCUAAUUCCCUGCUGAGUGAUGCCUCCCCUGAUUUGAAUUGCCAUCAGCUCGUGGCAGGACAUGGCCUGCUGGAAACAAACGAAAGAACCUGCCGAAUUCGAUGUAUUUCUCCCUCCAUUUGUAAGAUUUCAUGGAGUUAAUUCAAAUUCAUGGCUCCUGUGGCUGCCGUGACAAAAUCAGAGCCUUAUAGAUGGCCAACGAAUUCCCAUUUGUAGGGAUUUUUGGUCCCCUGAGGCAUGAUCAGCUUCUGCUAAGGACAGAAGCCACAUAAGGGGUUUAGAUAGCAGCUCCCUCUUGCUCUGCACCACCACCAGAUGCACGAUCCAAUCUCAUUUAUUUCGAUCUGAUGUCCUAUUGUUUCCCCGAAAUAACAUGGCCAGGCUACGGGGGCUCAAUAUCUGGCACCAAAGCUUUUUAUUUUACCUUUUUUCUUCCUUCUUCAGUGACUUUGUUCAUGCGCAUGGUAUUUGACCAGGUUAAAUGUGUUGGGAAGUAGUUGCAUCCUGAGGAUAUUUCAAGGUAAAAGGAACUCGCUGGGUUCUGUCGGAAACAUUUCUUGUUUGCCCUGGGCUGAAAGGUGCCACGGUUUGAUUUUGGUUGUCCUUGACUGGUUGCCAAAGGACUUGUGGCAGCCUUGGGGUGCAAGCAGCACUGGCCACUGAUUCCCAUACUGUCAGGUGUUGGUUGUUGCGUGGGAAAUGCCAAAUUACUUUGGUCCCCAUUUCCCCGGAGCUGGAUAAACCCCCAAAUUCUGAUUCUCAUCCAUCUGUGUAUCUCCCGAGCCCCAGCACAGCUUGCAGCCACACCAGCAAACACCGGGCAGCCAGACAAGGAGGAGAAUUGCUUGUCUCUGUUACAGGGAGGGUCUGGGACCUAUAGGACCCGAAUUUCCUCCACAUCCCCAGCGUUUUCCACUGCCAUCGAGAUUAGCAUGGCCCAAAUGGUGUGAACAUGACGGUGUCCAGUGAUGCAGCCCUCCUCCAGGGGGGACUACAAGGAAUUGUAUGGGAAUGGCGCUAAUCCCAUGCAGCCACGGAGAGCUUUUCCUUCAUUUGCUGAAUGUAUGAAAUCCAUAUGUCAUCAAUCCCUUUCUGGUGGCUGUAGCCUGUUUCCGAAGCUUAAAUCCCUGGCAUGUGGCUGGGAGCACAAGGGCCAAGCCCCGGAGCUUGCCAGCGCACGCUUCCACCUCCUGCUUCACCCGCUGCAGUUGGGUCACCGCCUGGCCUCCGCCACCGUCGGGGAGCUGAGGCUGCUUAAAAAUGGUGUUUCUGCCAAAUUUCUGGGUCCUGGGCAACAUCAGCUCUUUAUGGAGAGCAUUUCUGUGUCAGCACCCAGUUUGGGGUUUCCAAAUCACCCCGCAGAUGGUGGGGAAAAGAAAUGGGGAAAUGGGGCUGGUUUUGGAAGCAACUCAGCCCACUGCAUUGGGAAUGAGAAAAAAAUAAAAAAUGGGGCCAAAGAAGGGAAUGAAAGCCAGAAAGGGUUUGUGGUCAGGGUCAGGGGAGAGCUCCCCCAGGGUCAGAGCCCUUCUCCCUUUAGCUUUGGGAGAUUUGGGUAGCUUUAUUUUAGUCCCUUACGACACAUUUGCAUAAAGCUGCUUUCAGCUGAGUGCUUCUUAGCGCUGGUCCCUGCUCUAUUUAAACAUAAAUGUUUUAAAGUGCACAGACAGGUCUUUAGCAGGAAAAAAAACUGCCUGUGAAUUACAUUUAUUUCUUGUUUACCCACACAGCUCCAGCCGACACUUAUCAACAGAUUAACUUUCACUAAAGUUUCUGUGUAAUAUGUUUUAAAAAACCCCUCGAAGUGCAGAUUCUAUUAGUUCCUGACCUUCUGUUUUAAGAGGGAGAAAGUGGCUUUACGCUCCAUGAAAUGUGUUAAUGCAUGGAUGGAAGCCCUCUUAUCCUCCUGCUUACAUUAGGUCCAAUCAGGGGAAUGGAUUACGUUUUUUAAUAAUCUGACAU